rnacentral:rRNA from 1 species
ACUCAAAGGAAUUGACGGGGGCCCGCACAAGCAGCGGAGCGUGUGGUUUAAUUCGAUGCAACGCGAAGAACCUCACCUAGGCUUGACAUGCUCGAAGUAGAACCCCGAAAGGGGAACGACUCGUAAAGUCGAGAGCGAGCACAGAUGCUGCAUGGCUGUCGUCAGCUCGUGCCGUGAGGUGUUGGGUUAAGUCCCGCAACGAGCGCAACCCUCGCCGUUAGUUACCAUGUCUAGCGGGACCGCCGGUUUCAAACCGGAGGAAGGUGGGGAUGACGUCAAGUCAGCACGGCUCUUACGCCUAGGGCUACACACACGCUACAAUGGCCGGUACAACGGGAUGCCAAGGGGCGACCCGGAGCCAAUCCUAUCAAAGCCGGUCUCAGUUGGGAUUGCAGGCUGCAACUCGCCUGCAUGAACGCGGAGUUGCUAGUAACCGCAGGUCAGCACACUGCGGUGAAUACGUUCCCGGGCCUUGUACACACCGCCCGU